rnacentral:rRNA from 1 species
GGAGUUAGCCGGUGCUUCUUCUGCGAGUAACGUCACAGAUGUAAGGUAUUAACUUACACCCUUUCCUCCUCGCUGAAAGUGCUUUACAACCCGAAGGCCUUCUUCCACACACGCGGCAUGGCUGCAUCAGGGUUUCCCCCAUUGUGCAAUAUUCCCCACUGCUGCCUCCCGUAGGAGUCUGGGCCGUGUCUCAGUCCCAGUGUGGCUGAUCAUCCUCUCAGACCAGCUAGGGAUCGUCGCCUAGGUGAGCCUUUACCUCACCUACUAGCUAAAUCCCACCUGGGCUUAUCCAUCAGCGCAAGGCCCGAAGGUCCCCUGCUUUCCCCCGUAGGGCGUAUGCGGUAUUAGCAGUCGUUUCCAACUGUUAUCCCCACAAAUGGGCAAAUUCCCAGGCAUUACUCACCCGUCCGCCGCUCGUCAUCUUCAAAAGCAAGCUUUUGAAAUGUUACCGCUCGACUUGCAUGUGUUAGGCCUGCCGCCAGCGUUCAAUCUGAGCCAGGAUCGAAACUCUGA